AACAUCGCGCACCUGCGGGAACCUGCGGAGGGAUCAUUGCAGAGUUGCAAAACUCCCUAAACCAUUGUGAACGUUACCUAAACCGUUGCUUCGGCGGGCGGCCCGGGUCCUUCCCGGCGCCCCUCGGCCCUCGCGGGCGCCCGCCGGAGGUAAACCAAACUAUUGCAUUGUAUGGCCUCUCUGAGUCUUCUGUACUGAAUAAGUCAAAACUUUUAACAAUGGAUCUCAGAUCGGAAGAGC
rnacentral:misc_RNA from 1 species